rnacentral:tRNA from 1 species
GCCUGGGUGGCUCAGUCAGUUAAGCGUCUGACUUAGGCUCAGGUCACGAUCUCACAGUUUGUGAGUUCGAGCCCCACAUCAGGCU